rnacentral:rRNA from 1 species
CGCGGCCUAUCAGCUUGUUGGUGGGGUAGUGGCCUACCAAGGCGACGACGGGUAGCCGGCCUGAGAGGGUGACCGGCCACACUGGGACUGAGACACGGCCCAGACUCCUACGGGAGGCAGCAGUGGGGAAUAUUGCGCAAUGGGCGGAAGCCUGACGCAGCGACGCCGCGUGGGGGAUGACGGCCUUCGGGUUGUAAACCUCUUUCAGCAGGGACGAAGCGAAAGUGGCGGUACCUGCAGAAGAAGCACCGGCCAACUACGUGCCAGCAGCCGCGGUAAUACGUAGGGUGCAAGCGUUGUCCGGAAUUAUUGGGCGUAAAGAGCUCGUAGGCGGUCUGUCGCGUCGGCUGUGAAAUCCCGAGGCUCAACCUCGGGUCUGCAGUCGAUACGGGCAAACUGGAGUACUGCAGGGGAGACUGGAAUUCCUGGUGUAGCGGUGAAAUGCGCAGAUAUCAGGAGGAACACCGGUGGCGAAGGCGGGUCUCUGGGCAGUAACUGACGCUGAGGAGCGAAAGCGUGGGGAGCGAACAGGAUUAGAUACCCUGGUAGUCCACGCCGUAAACGUUGGGCGCUAGGUGUGGGGCUCAUUCCACGAGUUCCGUGCCACAGCUAACGCAUUAAGCGCCCCGCCUGGGGAGUACGG